GACUAAUUGAUUUUUGUGGGCUUCGUGUAGAUUAGAGCAUCCGUCGAGAACCUUCGUCUGUGGCCAUUCCUCUUCCGGCGUCUCAUCUGUGUUGUUCGAUCUUUAUUACUGCCACACGUUCUCAGACGACGAAACGUUUCCUCCUCCUAUAAACUCUCAUUAGCCUCCAACAAACUUCUCUUCUCCAAACUUGUCUUCUCCGAUCGUUUAAGGUGUUCUCCAUAUAACUUCUCAUAAAAUUGUUCUCUUUAAAAACUAAUAAAAAUGAUAGAGAGAAAACAAAGCUUGAGGUUAUCAAUGGAGGAAGUAUCACUGGCGGUUGCUAUGCCUUUCAUGCCUUUACCCGACACCCAGAUGGAACUCGCAGGGAUCAUGUUGGGUAAAAGUUACUGUAACGGCAAUACUCCACUCAAGAUCCCGAGAACGGCGAUUCUAGACCGGAGACUUCAUGCUCUGUUUUUGAAUCUAGGAAAGUUUUGUCCUCUCGGAUCAAUUCUCCCAACUUCAACAUAGAGAAGCAACCAUCAUCAUCAGAUAUGGUUGCUGAUAUCGCCGCAAGGGUAGAGAUCAAUGCUCGGAUAAGAAAUCGACGGAGAAGAAGAUGAUCAGCAGAACAGAGAGCAGGACUCUGUUCGAGUUCAAGAGUGUGCCUUUGUACGGCGUGGAAGAAGAGCGGAGAUGGAAGAUGUUGUCUCCACGAUCCUUAGAUUCCUUCAAUCUCCGACCAAAUCGUUGAUUGAUGGUCGUUUCGAUCCUAAGUCCACCGCUCAUUUCUUCGGUGUCUACGACAGCCACGGCGGUUCUCAGUGUAGGUAGCUAACUAUUGCAGAGAGAGGAUGCAUCUGGCUUUAGCGGAGGAAAUAGAGAAGGAGAAACUGGUGCUCUGCAACGGCGACACAUGGCAGGAGAAGUGUAAGAGAGCUCUGUUCAAUUCUUUCCUCCGAGUUGACUCUGAGAUCGAGUCGGUGGCCCAGGAGACUAUCAGGUCAACCUCGCCGUCAUUGUCUGCAAUCUAUUUGACUUAAAAAAGGUCCCAACUAAUGUCUCCUCAAUCGUUUCGGUCAAGACCUAGGAAGCUGAUUUCAUGUGUAAAGCUCGGAUCGUUGGUGUUCUCCAGCAAAAUGUUUGGUCUUACGUCUCUUGCACCGGUAGCAGCAUGAAAUUAGACAAAUCGGGUACUUCACUCCGGUGCAAAAGAUGUCUAUCACCAAACAUCACCAGUAUCAUCAGCCACGACUGCACCACGUUUGUAGUCUCCGACCCAUAGAUGACAAAACUGGCCAAGAAAGAUGCCACAUCAGUUGCUCUUGAUAAGGCUAAUGGCGGUGGAUAAUACGAGCUACCAAGAUGCAUACAAGAGCUUGCUGGCAAGCAAUGCCUCAUUAAAUUCGGGUACCACCAUAUAAUUUUAUUCCAAACCACAACACCUUUACAUCGUCUGCAAUCACUGAAGACGUGUUUGUACUUAGUCAGAUGUUAUCUAAACUUAGUUUAAAUUAUAUUCUCAUCCGGUCUGAUGUAUAAUAACCCAUUUUUCCUGUUAGUUUCAGUGUGAAAGCAGCAACAAAGCUCAAGUUGCUUCUUCAACUCAUUAAAUUUGAGGAGUAUUUGAAUCUUAAAAAAAAUAUCUUGUGGUUUAAUAUACGCUGAUAUAAUUUAUAUACACGUAUAUAUAUGAUAUAAAUGAUUACAUUAA